GUCUAUGGCCAUACAAACCUGAUUCACCCAAACUUAUCUGAUCUCAGAAGCUAAGCAGGGUCGGGCCUGGUUAGUACUCGGAUGAGAAGAGAAGAGAAGAGAAGAGAAGAGA
ensembl:rRNA 5S_rRNA 5S ribosomal RNA